rnacentral:lncRNA from 1 species
GUGAUACGGUCUGAUUAGUCAGAUGCUAGACGUCAGGUUCGGGUAAAUCUGUUAAUGGUAUUUCAUUGGUUAUAAAUACUAUUUAAUGGCUGCUUCGUGGCUGUUUCCGGAAUGAUUAUGGGGGAAAUGAAGGUCAUAUUAACGUCUGAUUGGCUAUUAAUGAGUGGUAUGCAUUAUGUGUCAACGCGUCCGUAUGUGCGGUCGGAUAAAAAUCAUGAUAGUAGGUCAUCGGUAUAAAUUGUAAUGAAGUGUUCAUUUGCUAUCGUAAAGAGCUAUAAUGUUUAUUAACGAAGCACUGUCAAUUUAGUGCAAUCAAUUAAAUCAAUACUAUUCUGUGAUAAUAAAAUCAUGUUAUCUUGAAAUUAUGUUGCAAUUUUGGUACGAGGCUGUAUAUUUAUGUAUCAUUGAUCUACUUUAAAAAUAG